rnacentral:rRNA from 1 species
GACGAACGCUGGCGGCGUGCCUAAUACAUGCAAGUCGAGCGGACCAAAGGGAGCUUGCUCCUGGAGGUUAGCGGCGAACGGGUGAGUAACACGUGGGCAACCUGCCUGUAAGACUGGGAUAACAUCGAGAAAUCGGUGCUAAUACCGGAUAAUAAAAAGAACUGCAUGGUUCUUUUUUGAAAGAUGGUUUCGGCUAUCACUUACAGAUGGGCCCGCGGCGCAUUAGCUAGUUGGUGAGGUAACGGCUCACCAAGGCAACGAUGCGUAGCCGACCUGAGAGGGUGAUCGGCCACACUGGGACUGAGACACGGCCCAGACUCCUACGGGAGGCAGCAGUAGGGAAUCUUCCGCAAUGGACGAAAGUCUGACGGAGCAACGCCGCGUGAGUGAUGAAGGUUUUCGGAUCGUAAAACUCUGUUGUUAGGGAAGAACAAGUGCCGUUCGAAAGGGCGGCACCUUGACGGUACCUAACGAGAAAGCCACGGCUAACUACGUGCCAGCAGCCGCGGUAAGUCG